UACGUAGGGUGCAAGCGUUGUCCGGAAUUAUUGGGCGUAAAGGGCUCGUAGGCGGUUUGUCACGUCGGGAGUGAAAACUCGGGGCUUAACCCCGAGCCUGCUUCCGAUACGGGCUGACUAGAGGUAUGCAGGGGAGAACGGAAUUCCUGGUGUAGCGGUGAAAUGCGCAGAUAUCAGGAGGAACACCGGUGGCGAAGGCGGUUCUCUGGGCAUGAUCUGACGCUGAGGAGCGAAAGUGUGGGGAGCGAACAGG
rnacentral:rRNA from 1 species